rnacentral:lncRNA from 1 species
GCAAACAUUUAGUGAGUCUCUGAUAUGCAUCUGGGACUAUAAUGGGUCUUAACAUUCUCUUCUAAUUUUUUUAUUUUUUUUAAUUUGCGAGACAGGGCUUCUCUGUGUAGCCCUGGCUGUCCUGGAACUCACUCUGUAGACCAGGCUGGCCUCGAACUCAGAAAUCCACCUGCCUCUGCCUCCCAAGUGCUGGGAUUAAAGGCACGCACCACCACUGCCCAGCUCUCUUCUAAUUUUUGCAACACAUCUGCAUUUUCUUGAUGAGAUGCUGGAGAAGUGAGAGGUUAAGAAAGUUUCCUAAGGUCACAGACCCUUUUAAUGGCAACAGUUGGAAGGGAAGCCCAGUCCCUCCCUUGGCAUCAGUUUCUUUAGUGAUGUUUGACACUUUCUAAACACCAGUAACAUCUUAUAGUUACUUUCUUAUUUUCCACAAUGCCAAGUAAGUGGUGAGAUCUUCAUUUCUGCCUACCUUCUCAACACCGCAGAAGAUGCUACUUAAAGAUGCCCUUCCAUAUUGCAUGAAUACAAGAGGUGGCUCCACUCGUAAGUGGCAAGGCUGAGGGUCAUGCCUAUUUUUUUUUUUAAUUAUAACAAGGCAGGGUGUGGGAAGGCGACGAGUGCCACGGUGUACGAAUCAGUUCUCUCCUUCACUAGAGACCAGGAAGAGAAACGGCUGCCACCCCUUAGACUGGCUACCUGUCUUCGUGAGUAUCCCGCCCCCUGCCCAAGCCACCUUGACACUUGGUCCUCCGGGAUGCUCCUAGAAGAGGAAGACCCUGCGUCUCAGGGACCCCCCUCCUGGGGAGGGCGGGCUGAUCCACACGGGGACAGGGACACAGGGCGCGCGGCCCGAGUCGGGAACCCCGUUCCACGUGGCGGAGCCAAGUGGCAGCGAUCGAGGCGGGAGCGGGAAGCGCGGGAGGCCGGGUGGACGCUGCCCGGUGCGGAGAGUGGGCCCGGGCCCGGCAGGUUCGGGAGAGCGGCAGGUGGGCGGGCUGCAUCCCUUCAGCGCUCCCGUGAGCCGUGCCACUGGACAGCCGGCUGCCCGCCGUCGCCUCGGAGACCGUCCGGCCCCUCCGCGUACCCCUGGCCCCGCCGCCGCCUCCCGGGCCUACCUUGCUGGUGAGGUCCAGCUCCGGCUCGCCGUUGAGCGCCUCGCCGUCCUCGCUGCAGUCAGAAUCGAAGCCGCCAUGGAGUCGGGCCGCGGCCGCGGCGGCCCGAGCCGCCCCCGGAGAGCUAGGCUCGGGGGCGAACAUCGAGGCCGGCACCGGCGAGUCGACCGGGGAGCGACUCCGCUCCGCCGCCAUCUUUAAGAACUUAAGCUAAUUCGCAGCCGGCCGCCCGCCCUCCCUCCCUGGCUCAUUUAACUAAUUUAUGCUCGGCCCCGCCCCUUCUUGUUAGAAUAAUUUAUGCGCGGCUUCCCCGCCUCCCGAGACUGUCACGUAUCUCUAGCGGAGACACAGAAGACCCAGUCUCUCAUUUACCAAUCGUCGCAGCUCUCUCAAAUACUUUAAUGAAUAAUUAAUGAGACCAAAACCCUAACAACAAACGUCGUAGUGGUCGGGAGCCUUGGUCCCACCUCUAGUGGGGCCAACACAGCGUGCACGCUACCUGCCUGGAUCCUUCCCGCCAACGGGAGCGAAGCAGAGGUUUGACUGACUUGACAACAAUCCAAUGAAAAGAGGCAUCCAUUCUUUACUCCCCACCUCACUUUCCAGAGGCGGGGCCAGCCUCCAAAUCAUACUGCAAAACAGUCCCGCCUGGAGCCUCUCAAAAUGAUGGACAAGGGCGGGACCCAAUCUUGUCCUCCCUAAGUCCCGCGCGUCUGGCCGCCGCAUACCCAGAUAGUAAACUGUGAAAUGAGCCUGGCACUCCGAAUGAUUGAAGGCAGUUGCUGCAACACUGUGUCCGGCGUGCUGGCAUGCGCAAGGCAAUUUUUAUAGUAGAAUCGAUGCUAUGUAUUCCAGGAGUGGUAAUAUUACAGCCGCCAGACCAAGACAAUUAAUUAAAUGCUGACCUCAGGGAGUUCCAUUCAUGACUCCUCGGAGAGCAACUGAGUGAACAGAAAGAUGUUGACAGCCCAAACUCUAGCGUAAAUCCCCUCACGUUUUUGGUGAACAGCUGAGCCACAGGUCUAGGAUCUGUCAAGGUAGUUUCUUGUGGCUUAUUUUUCAGUUGCCACUUGUGGAAAGUCCCAGUCCAAAAAAAAAAAAAAAAACCCGCCGUUCGUGUACCUGAAAUUCCCGUUUCAAAUGUCUGAAAAAUUUAGACUAUUAGGUGAGUUCUGUUUUUUACCAAGAUCUAAUUAUGCUGGCUGGACCUGGCCACUCCUCCUGGUAAUAGAUUAAAAAAAAGAGCAGCCGCCUGAGGAAGUACGAGAAAUUUAGGGAUUGGACCACAGGAUGUAUAUAGUAAGUAAGGAAAAGGGUACAAUAUAGCCGUCACCUAAUUCGGGGAGAGUCUUGUCCUCAUUUUUAACGUACUACCAAGUCUGUGAGCAGAUGCUGCUGGAAACCUGACCUUAAUGGUUUUUUACUGAGAUUUGUUUUUAUUUUGUAUGAAUGGUGUGUGUGUGUGUGUGUGUGUGUGUGUGUGUGUGUGUAUGUCUGUGUGCCACCUUUGUGCAGGGCCUGUAGAGUCUAAAUGGGGCACCGGAACCCUUUUGGACUAGAGUCGCAGACGAUUGUUAGCCUCCAUUAGGGUACUGGGAAUCCAACCCAGGUCUUCUGAAACUCUGAGCUAUAUCUCCAGACCCAGAGAUUCGGACUCCUAAAGUGAGAGGCAGUCUUGUGGACCGUAACCCUAUAUCUGUGGAUUCUGACAGUAUCCCCAAGUAUUAAGAAUUCAACUGGAGGUUGCUCACUGCUUGGCUGGGGGUGAUCAGAGGUGACAGUUGUAUUAAUUCUAUUGCUUCGAUUGCUAUUUAGCAUUGUAUGGCCAGAAAAAGUUCAGUUUCAGAAUACAUUGCUAUCUGGCUGGGGGGAAAGACUGUCCUUCUCACUAUAGGACUUUGCCUAGAAAGGAUAUAUAUUCUGAAUACUUGCUUUUCGAAUUGAAUGUUUUGGAGAAUAAAUAUAAAAAGUAACAGU